AGAGUUUGAUCCUGGCUCAGGAUGAACGCUGGCGGCGUGCUUAACACAUGCAAGUCGAACGAUCCUUCGGGAUAGUGGCGGACGGGUGAGUAACGCGUGGGAAUCUGCCCUCAGGAGGGGGAUAACGGCUGGAAACGGCCGCUAAUACCCCAUAUGCCGAGAGGUGAAAUGAAUUUCGCCUGAGGAUGAGCCCGCGUCUGAUUAGCUAGUUGGUGGGGUAAAGGCCUACCAAGGCGACGAUCAGUAGCUGGUCUGAGAGGAUGAUCAGCCACACUGGGACUGAGACACGGCCCAGACUCCUACGGGAGGCAGCAGUGGGGAAUUUUCCGCAAUGGGCGAAAGCCUGACGGAGCAACGCCGCGUGAGGGAUGAAGGCCUCUGGGCUGUAAACCUCUUUUCUCAAGGAAGAAGAACUGACGGUACUUGAGGAAUAAGCCACGUCUAAUUCCGUGCCAGCAGCCGCGGUAAUACGGGAGUGGCAAGCGUUAUCCGGAAUUAUUGGGCGUAAAGCGUCCGCAGGCGGCCUUGUAAGUCUGUUGUUAAAGCGUGGAGCUCAACUCCAUUUAAGCAAUGGAAACUACAAGGCUGGAGUGUGGUAGGGGCAGAGGGAAUUCCCGGUGUAGCGGUGAAAUGCGUAGAUAUCGGGAAGAACACCAGUGGCGAAGGCGCUCUGCUGGGCCAUAACUGACGCUCAUGGACGAAAGCCAGGGGAGCGAAAGGGAUUAGAUACCCCUGUAGUCCUGGCCGUAAACGAUGAACACUAGGUGUCGGGGGAAUCGACCCCCUCGGUGUCGUAGCCAACGCGUUAAGUGUUCCGCCUGGGGAGUACGCACGCAAGUGUGAAACUCAAAGGAAUUGACGGGGGCCCGCACAAGCGGUGGAGUAUGUGGUUUAAUUCGAUGCAACGCGAAGAACCUUACCAGGGUUUGACAUCCUGCGAAUCCCUUGGAAACGAGGGAGUGCCUUCGGGAGCGCAGUGACAGGUGGUGCAUGGCUGUCGUCAGCUCGUGUCGUGAGAUGUUGGGUUAAGUCCCGCAACGAGCGCAACCCACGUCUUUAGUUGCCAGCAUUCAGUUGGGCACUCUAGAGAGACCGCCGGUGAUAAACCGGAGGAAGGUGUGGAUGACGUCAAGUCAUCAUGCCCCUUACAUCCUGGGCUACACACGUACUACAAUGCUACGGACAAAGGGCAGCAAGCUCGCGAGAGUUAGCAAAUCCCAUAAACCGUGGCUCAGUUCAGAUCGUAGGCUGCAACUCGCCUACGUGAAGGAGGAAUCGCUAGUAAUCGCAGGUCAGCAUACUGCGGUGAAUACGUUCCCGGGCCUUGUACACACCGCCCGUCACACCAUGGAAGUUGGCCAUGCCCGAAGUCGUUACUCCAACCCCU
rnacentral:rRNA from 1 species